rnacentral:rRNA from 1 species
AUGGAAAGUACAUAUACUCGCUGGAUAUAUCAUGGAGAAGGCUUCAAUGCAGAUGUUAUUGAGCAUCCUGUUGAUGUGCAUGACUCUGAGGAUGGUAACAAUGGUGCUGACCGAUUUGAAGAGAUGUUUGGCGACCUACGCACAGCAGUAGAACAAGAUCAGAAGGAAACUGAAAAUGAAGACGGUAACAAUGAUGCAAAUCCUUCUGAGACUGAGUCCUUUUUGAAGAACGUGAGGAAAGAGGCAAUGCGGCACCUUUAUCAUGGUUGUACCAAGUUUUCAAGGUUCUCAUUUGUGGUGAAUCUUCUUCAUUUGAAGUUAUGCCAUAGGAUCACAAAUAGUGCAUUUACUGACAUUUUGAAGCUACUGGCUGAAGCAUUCCCUCAACCCAAUACACUCCCAAAAUCUUAUGACUAUGCAAAGAAUCUUCUAAAGGAAUUAGGCCUUGGGUAUGAGUCUAUACAUGUGUGCAUCAAUAAUUGUGUUUUGUUCAGAAAGCAAUAUGCCAAGCAUGACAACUGCCCAGUUUGUGGCAUGCCAAGGUGGAAAGACCCUGCUAGAAAGAAGAUACCACAGAAAGUUAUGAGGCAUUUUCCAUUGGUGCCUAGGCUGAAGAGGACGUUUCUUUCCAAAAAAGCAUCAGAAGAAGCACAGUGGCACAAGCUAAAGAGGCAACCCAGUGAGAAGGAAAUGAGCCAUCCAGCUGACGGUGAUGCGUGGCAAGAUUUUGAUAAAAAAUAUCCAAAAUUUGCAGAAGAUGCCAGAAACAUGAGGCUUGGCAUUGCCACUGAUGGGUUCAAUCCUUUCGGAAACUUUAACACAACCUAUAGUAUGUGGCCUGUAUUUGUUGUGCCAUACAACCUUCCACCUUGGGCAUGCAUGGAUCAGUCAAAUUUCAUGAUGGCUCUGUUAAUUCCAGGUCCUAAAUCACCUGGCAAGCACUUUGAUGUCUUCCUACAGCCACUUGUAGAAGAUUUACUUGAGCUUUGGAAGGGUGUGCGUACAUAUGAUGCUCGUGAAGGAAAAAUGUUUGAUCUUCAUGCUGCAGUUCUAUGGUGCAUUCACGAUUACCCAGCUCUGAGCACUCUUUUAAGGUGUACCACAGGAGGCUAUGCUGCAUGUAUUCAUUGUGACAAACACCCUCUUUCCUAUGGCCUAAGGCACAAAAUUGGGUAUAUUGGGCAUUAUCGUUUCCUUCCAAAGGGACAUCGUUUGCGAAGAAACAAUGAAUUUGUUGGUCUCCGUGAACGCAAUGAUGAGCCAGGUAAAUUCUCAAAGGAAGAGCUACAAGCAGAAUUGGAGAAGGUUAGACCUGGGCGACAAGAAGAAAACAGGAAAAGAAACCGUUCUGACUUGGGCAGCAAGAAGGCUCAUGUGCCAAUUUGGAGUCAGAGGGUUUGUUUGUGGGAUUUGGAUUAUUGGGAUAAAUUGAAGCUGAGACAUAAUCUUGAUGUCAUGCAUAUCGAGAAAAACAUUUGUGAAAACCUCAUUGGGACAAUUCUCAACAUGGAGGGGAAGACGAAGGACACACUUAAUGCUAGGCUUGAUCUCCAAGAUUUGAAUAUUAAAGAGGAGUUGCAUUUGAGGAAGGAUGGAAACUCAUAUGAGAUACCUCGGGCCCGGUAUACCUUGUCUAAAGAACAAGUGGUUGCAUUUUGUCAAUUUUUACGGGAGUUAAAGUUUCCAGAUGGGUUUGCUUCCAACAUAUCUAGAUGUACAAGUGCUGAUGGAACCAAGGUCCAAGGCCUAAAAACACAUGAUUGUCACAUUCUUUUGCAAAGAAUCUUACCUGCUAGCAUGAGAGGAUUUCUGGAUAGUGAUAUAUAUGAAGCAAUAGCUGAGUUGGGCAAGUUUUUCAGGGAACUCUGCAGCAAAACUCUUAACAGGGAUGUGUUGGCUGAAAUGAAGAAAGAAAUCCCUGUAAUUUUGUGCAAGCUUGAGAAAAUUUUCCCUCCUGCUUUCUUUGAUGUGAUGGUGCACCUUGCCGUACAUUUACCAGAAGAGGCAUUACUCCGAGGUCCCGUACAAUAUGGGUGGAUGUAG